rnacentral:lncRNA from 1 species
CUUGAUAUUGAUAAGAUGAUAUUCAAUAUAACUUUUUAAAGUACUUGAAUUCAGUUUUCCAAUUUUAAGGUAUGUUUGAGGUAUGGCUGAUUUAUAUAAACGAUACAGCUGAGCUAUCUAAACGAUACGGCUGAGUUAUCUAAACAAUACGGCUGAGUUAUCUAAACAUUUUCUGAUUUUAGGGUUUGUUUAAGGUAUGACUGAGUUAUGUAAACGACACGACUGAGAUAUAUAAACAACACGGCUGAGUACUGUAAACAUAGCAUAAAUCUUUUUCUUAGCAACAACUUAGCAUAAAUCAAACACAAAACACAAAAACUUCAGUUAUAACG